rnacentral:lncRNA from 12 species
CCUGGCAAUGCAAAUCAAAUUGGAAAACUGAAUAUCUCAGUAAUGCUGCCAAUUUCUCAGGCCUCAAAGAUUUAGAUCUUUGAAUUCAUGCUUAAGUUAAUAGUAUAUUAUAUGAAAUGUUCCAUGAGUCUAGUUUAAGACUACCUUUAAAGGUAUGCACUUGUGAUUCCAUUCCCCAGUUGACUCCUCAACUCUAUGCUUUUAGGAGAUUUGAAGGAAAUAAUGGGCUCCAAACCCGAGAGCUAAAUAGAGAAGUGUGGGCAUAAACAAGUGUACUUUUGAACCCCUAUUUCUCUCUGUAUACACUUUUUAAAAAGAUUUAUUUAUUUAUUUAUUUAUUUAUUUAUUUAUUUAGGGGCGGGGGCAGAGAGAAAGAGAGAGAAACCCAAGCUGAUUUCUCCCUGAAACCAUGACCUGAGCUGAAACCAAGACCUGUACACUCAACUGACUGCACCAUCCAGGUGCCCCUCUUUGUAUUAGCUUUGAGAUCAUUAGCUUACAGAAGUAUGACAGCUCAAAUACAGUAGACAUUUAUUUCCCACUAGUGUUAAGUCCAAAAUGGGAAUUCUUUUUUGACAGAUGGUCUCCUGUGAGCAGAAACUCAGAGACCUAGGCUUCUUUCAGUUUUGGCUCCCUUAGUUUCAACAUGUUUCCAAUAUGUCCAUGCUAGUCUACAGCCAAUCAAAACAGGAGAGAAUAAAUAGCAUCUGGUGGAAAGGCCUGGGAAAGAGACGGACACACUUCCACUCAUAUUCCACUGGCUGAAACUCAGUCAUGUGCAAAGGAAGCUGGGAAAUACAGCCCAAGCUAUCCCAGGGACCACAGGCAACAGUGCAACACCCUUCUGGAUAAUCUACAGCCUGCAAGUGAAUUUGUCCACAAGAAUAUGGUAUACCCUUUGGAAGCUGAGAACCUAUCUACUUACAGUCUGGGAUGCACGCCUUACAGCUCGGAUUGUAGGAUAUAAUUGUGACAGCUGCUCAACAACACAGGGGAAGGAUGUCCAGAGGAGAUUGUGGCCCCAUAGGUGAUUCUCUUCUUGCCCCCCUGCGUUAUGAACUACGGAACUAGAUGAACCAUUAGCUUCACUUCAUAAACUAAAGAGCAACAAAGACUCUGAAGAGAUCUUCUAUAUUCUGAGCAGGCUCUUCAAAAUCUGUGGAAUAUAGGAAUGCAAUGAGUGCAGUGUCAUAGUGAUAAAACAGUUAUGAAACUAGUCAUGACCCAAAGAAACCAAGCCAUAUAGAGGCCCUGAGCUUUACUCCUUUCACAAAAGAUUCGCUUACAGCCAGAGGAAGUUAUUGCCUAUUUUCAAGAGAAUACAGAAAUGUCAGUCCAGAGUGAACAAGGGCAGAUGAAGCAAUACCUCCUUUACAGCCUGUAUAAGUUACACUUUCCAUUAACAGAAAUGGGAAGAUGUAUCAUUGUAAAAAAGCCACUUGCUUAGCUAAAAGUAUAGCCACAUGCUCCAUUUUCAAUACAUGAAAAAUAAUGUCCUUUUAACUUAUGUUUUAUGGUCAAAACAAUGCAAAACCCUUUAAUAACUUUGAUUUGUGAUAGAAUAUCACAGAGAUCGAAGGUUAAUAUAUACUGUGUGCUCAGAAACAAGACUUUAUUUGGAAGAGAGAGAAUCAGAGUAAAGGAUCAAGAAAGAGAUGAAAUGAAAGAGGCUUGAUAAAGUAUGGCCAAGUAAUAAAACUAACAUUAUUUUUCUUGAGAGGUGUGAU